AUGCGGUGCCCAAAUGCCACUGGGUCCUCAGCAGUACCACCUGGUCAACAAAUACAAGGCACCUGGCCUCACAUGAAACUUUAUUCCUUUCCCUUGAGAUGUGACAUGAAAGAAAAUAUCAGAAAUGAUUUUUCCAUCCCAUCCUCAGGGACCAGUGGGAAUGAAUUUUACCAUCCCACCCUCAAGGGCCAGAUUGGAAGUGAUAUUGGUGGAAGACAACAUUUUGCCGCUUGGAAUUCUCACCUCCACACCAAAGAAGUACUGUUUUUGUCAUUUGCACGAGCUUCUUUCUCCAGGAAAGAUCAAAAUGAUGCACUGCAAGGGAAGCAAGAGAAUGAAUUAAAGAAAACUCCAGAGAAUGAGCUGACAACUUACUCCCUAGUCAGUGGCUCUCCAUGCCUACCUGUGGUCUCUUGGACACCCUUGCAGAAUAUGACUUCCUGGGAACUCUUCUGGAAGUGA
rnacentral:lncRNA from 1 species